CCUUACAAAAUAACACCUCCCAGGACACCUACCUCUUCAAUAGUUUUUAACCACGCUGCAGCUGCACGAGAAAAUCCAUUCAUCAAUUAUAAAUCAAUUGAGGAAGAGAAAUCUGCAGCUCGCUUGAUUGCCCUUGUUGUCCCUGCAACUCACUGAUCCAGCUACAGAAACUUUCCAGCCUGCCAGAAAACAUUACAAACUUGGUCGUGUUUUGAAGCAGCUCACACAAGCCUCGCCAAAUUUGCAGACCUCUCUUUUGCAUCAGCCACCCGCGGCUCGGUACUUAAUGAAGGAGUCCGGAGGUGGAGAUGAAUUAUCCAAGUUCCUAAGCGGCCGGCGGCUCCGACAAGGACCUCUCUCCCCGCGUUACUCCUCAUUCCCAUCCCGGCUUUGCGGCCCCGCCACUCUCCCCCCGCACCCCGGUUGGGGUUUACACGCGCUCGCGGGGCUCCGCGCUCUCUCCGAUGUCAACGAGGUGAACCCGGGAGCCCGCUAGGGCUGUACCCACACAAAUCACUGCGUGUAAGCGUCCCUCGGGGCUAUUUGCGGCUGGGACGAAAGACACUUAAAGAAAUGAGAGAUGUAGCAGGGGUCCCUCACUGGACCGAAGGGACUGCGUCGUUUAUCGGCCUCGGCAGAAGUAGUUAUAUGCCUAUAAAUCUGCGUUCGGCAACACCGAUCGCGGAAGCAGAUUCAUAAGACUUCAAAUUAACCGUUUCUAUCUUUAGGGCUGGGGGGAAGGAAAUGAAGGGGCGGGGGGGUCGAAAAGAGAAAGGUGUUUUUUUGGAAAUGAGAGGUCCCCGUUAGUUAGCGGGUGCUCACACCUAUUACGGACUCCUUCCCAUAAGCUUGCGUAACAUUGAUUACUCACAAAGAGUUCACAAUAACUAUCAUGUAGCUAAACUAAUUGAGACAAUCAUGCUAAGUUAUAGCCAGUCUAAAAGGUACCAUUGAUGUGGUAAUGCCUAUAGAAAGUCAGACAUGCGACUCACUACCAUUUAAUUGCUCCUUUAAACCUGUUAUUACAAUGUUAACUGGCUUAAGUAUAUAUUGCUGCCUUUUAUUGCCUUGAUGUGACAAAUUAAAACAUACACUCUGGAA